rnacentral:rRNA from 1 species
GAUGAACGCUGACAGAAUGCUUAACACAUGCAAGUCGACUCGAGUCUUCGGACUUGGGUGGCGCACGGGUGAGUAACGCGUAAAGAACUUGCCUCUUAGACCGGGACAACAUCUGGAAACGGAUGCUAAUACCGGAUAUUAUGGUUUUUUCGCAUGGAGGAAUCAUGAAAGCUAGAUGCGCUAAGAGAGAGCUUUGCGUCCCAUUAGCUAGUUGGUGAGGUAACGGCCCACCAAGGCAAUGAUGGGUAGCCGGCCUGAGAGGGUGAACGGCCACAAGGGGACUGAGACACGGCCCUUACUCCUACGGGAGGCAGCAGUGGGGAAUAUUGGACAAUGGACCACAAGUCUGAUCCAGCAAUUCUGUGUGCACGAUGACGUUUUUCGGAAUGUAAAGUGCUUUCAGUCGGGAAGAAGUCAGUGACGGUACCGACAGAAGAAGCGACGGCUAAAUACGUGCCAGCAGCCGCGGUAAUACGUAUGUCGCAAGCGUUAUCCGGAUUUAUUGGGCGUAAAGCGCGUCUAGGCGGCAAGGAAAGUCUGAUGUGAAGAUGCGGAGCUCAACUCCGUAUGGCGUUGGAAACUGCCUUACUAGAGUACUGGAGAGGUAGGCGGAACUACAAGUGUAGAGGUGAAAUUCGUAGAUAUUUGUAGGAAUGCCGAUGGGGAAGCCAGCCUACUGGACAGAUACUGACGCUAAAGCGCGAAAGCGUGGGUAGCAAACAGG